rnacentral:rRNA from 1 species
UACGUAGGGGGCAAGCGUUGUCCGGAUUUAUUGGGCGUAAAGAGCGUGUAGGCGGCCAGGGAGGUCCGUUGUGAAAACUCGAGGCUCAACCUCGAGACGCCGAUGGAAACCCCCUGGCUAGAGUCCGGAAGAGGAGAAUGGAAUUCCUGGUGUAGCGGUGAAAUGCGCAGAUAUCAGGAGGAACACCGGUGGCGAAGGCGGAUCUCUGGGCCUGUUCUGACGCUGAGGCGCGAAAGCUAGGGGAGCGAACAGG